AAUCAUCUAAAGAUGUCCCUAAUAGUGCUGUGUCACGUACUCCGAAAGUCAAGUCUCAGGGUCCUCAAUUAGGCCAAACUCCAUGCCAGUUUGUUCAAGAAACUAUUGAGCCAUUUUGUACAGAUUUAGUUGCAUGGUCAGAGAAUUGUGAUACAAUGAUUUGUAAUCCAUGGCCAAGAGAGGGUUCUUUUAGUGAUUUUCAUUUGCAAAUUCUGAAAGGUUAUGUGUAUUGAAGGUUUAAAAAAUCAGGUGGAGAUUCAAAAUGGGAUAAAAAGUAUAUGCAUAAUGCAGCUACAGGAUGGUUAAAGUGUGCUCAGUUAUGGUUUGUUCCUGAUCAGACUACAAAGUAUGUUCAGGCUUCUGCAGCAUCACCUGCUUAUGUGCUUUUUGUUGUACCAAUAAAUAUCAGUUUGGAUGAAUAAAAAAAAAAAAAGAUUUUUCGGAAUAUUGAUACUGAUGAAAUUUUAAUGGCGAUUGGUAGAGGGAAAAGUCAUGUUGGAUAGAUGGUUGUGAAUCCUUCUGCAAUGGUGAGAUCCACUGCAGAAAAUGUUGAUGUUGGUAUGAAAAAAUGAGAAAGUGACUAGAAAGUCUGUGGAUGUUGGUGCAGGGAAUAAGCAAGUUGAUAGUGUUUUAGUGGUGGAUGAGGGUUAUAAGAGUCAUGGUGUACUAGUUCCCAGUCAUGUGUCUGCUUCUGCCUAUCCUUUUGUAGUUGCUGGUGAGACUGUUAUAAUUAAGCCUCCCUAUGGAUCACAUUUGGUGUCUCUUAGGACUCAGUGUCCUGAUCCGUUUAAGCUUCCAGAAGGCACUAUUAAUUAUUUAAAGAGAGUAACAAUGGAUCAACAGUUUGGAGGGGCAGAUUUUUGUUUUUUUAUUGUCUGUUGUUUUUAAAUAUGCUGAUAUUUCACCAACAGAAAUGGCUCUUAAUUUGGACACUAAACAUGAUAGACCUGGUACUGAUGUAGGUUGGUUCUGUGUAUUUUGGGCU